rnacentral:rRNA from 1 species
GAUGAACGCUGGCGGCGUGCCUAAUACAUGCAAGUCGAGCGAACAGACGAGGAGCUUGCUCCUCUGACGUUAGCGGCGGACGGGUGAGUAACACGUGGAUAACCUACCUAUAAGACUGGGAUAACUUCGGGAAACCGGAGCUAAUACCGGAUAAUAUAUUGAACCGCAUGGUUCAAUAGUGAAAGACGGUUUUGCUGUCACUUAUAGAUGGAUCCGCGCCGCAUUAGCUAGUUGGUAAGGUAACGGCUUACCAAGGCAACGAUGCGUAGCCGACCUGAGAGGGUGAUCGGCCACACUGGAACUGAGACACGGUCCAGACUCCUACGGGAGGCAGCAGUAGGGAAUCUUCCGCAAUGGGCGAAAGCCUGACGGAGCAACGCCGCGUGAGUGAUGAAGGUCUUCGGAUCGUAAAACUCUGUUAUUAGGGAAGAACAAAUGUGUAAGUAGCUAUGCACGUCUUGACGGUACCUAAUCAGAAAGCCACGGCUAACUGCGUG